rnacentral:rRNA from 1 species
CGCGUAGGCGGCCCGCUAAGUCGAACGUGAAAUCCCCAGGCUCAACCUGGGAACUGCGUCCGAUACUGGCAGGCUUGAAUCCGGGAGAGGGAUGUGGAAUUCCAGGUGUAGCGGUGAAAUGCGUAGAUAUCUGGAGGAACACCGGUGGCGAAGGCGGCAUCCUGGACCGGUAUUGACGCUGAGGCGCGAAAGCUAGGGGAGCAAACGGGAUUAGAUACCCCGGUAGUCCUAGCCCUAAACGAUGAAUGCUUGGUGUGGCGGGUAUCGAUCCCUGCCGUGCCGAAGCUAACGCAUUAAGCAUUCCGCCUGGGGAGUACGGUCGCAAGGCUGAA